rnacentral:rRNA from 1 species
UACGUAGGGUGCAAGCGUUAAUCGGAAUUACUGGGCGUAAAGCGUGCGCAGGCGGUUGUGCAAGACAGAUGUGAAAUCCCCGGGCUUAACCUGGGAACUGCAUUUGUGACUGCAUAGCUGGAGUGCGGCAGAGGGGGAUGGAAUUCCGCGUGUAGCAGUGAAAUGCGUAGAUAUGCGGAGGAACACCGAUGGCGAAGGCAAUCCCCCUGGGA